rnacentral:rRNA from 1 species
ACUACAACUUUCAGCAACGGAUCUCUUGGCUCUCGCAUCGAUGAAGAACGCAGCGAAAUGCGAUAAGUAAUGUGAAUUGCAGAAUUCAGUGAAUCAUCGAAUCUUUGAACGCACCUUGCGCUCCUUGGUAUUCCGAGGAGCAUGCCUGUUUGAGUGUCAUUAAAUUCUCA